AUGUACAUUCCUACAACAUAGCGCUAAUACGUUGAAUCCCACUAUAACUCCACAGUUAAGUGCGCUCGGGCUAGAAUAGUAUUGGGAUGGGUGAUCGCCUGAGAAUUCCUAAUUUUUUACAUG
rnacentral:rRNA from 1 species